GAUAAACGCUGGCGGCGUGCAUAACACAUGCAAGUCGAACGAUGAACCUCAUUAGAUUUCUUCGGAAUGAAAUUAAGCGGAUUAGUGGCGAACGGGUGAGUAACACGUGAGUAACCUGCCUUACACAAGGGGAUAGCCUUUGGAAACGAAGAAUAAUACCCUAUAAAGUCAAAAUAUCGCAUGAUAUAGUGACCAAAGAUUUAUCGGUGUAAGAUGGACUUGCGUCUGAUUAGCUAGUUGGUGAGAUAAAAGCCCACCAAGGCGACGAUCAGUAGCCGGCUUGAGAGAGUGUACGGCCACAUUGGGACUGAGACACGGCCCAAACUCCUACGGGAGGCAGCAGUGGGGAAUUUUGCACAAUGGGGGAAACCCUGAUGCAGCGACGCCGCGUGAUUUAGAAGGCCUUCGGGUUGUAAAAAUCUUUUUUAUGGGAUGAAAAUGACAGUACCAUAAGAAUAAGGUCCGGCUAAAUACGUGCCAGCAGCCGCGGUAAUACGUAUGGACCGAGCGUUGUCCGGAAUCAUUGGGCGUAAAGGGUACGUAGGCGGCCUAGUAAGUUAGAAGUGAAAUAAUAUAGCUCAACUAUAUAAAGCUUUUAAAACUGUUAGGCUUGAGAGAUGAAAGGGAAAGUGGAAUUCCUAGUGUAGCGGUGAAAUGCGCAGAUAUUAGGAAGAAUACCGGUGGCGAAGGCGACUUUCUGGUCAUCAUCUGACGCUGAGGUACGAAAGCGUGGGUAGCAAACAGG
rnacentral:rRNA from 1 species